GAGGCUUUUGUUCCAACAGGUAAGUUAUCUCUUCCUAUUCCAACUUCUUGCUGUUUCUUCCCAGCAGUGUACUAAAGAUGACGUCUCUUGGCAUACAUGGAGUCAGUGAAUCACAAGAAAAAAAAAACAGGUAAAUUAGGGGAUUGUGUUAGGAUAGAGUCCUGUAUUCCAAGGAUAUGGGGGAGAAGAAAGGGCUACAUGACGUUGAAGCUGUGUGUAUCCAUGGCAGGUAAGAAUCCCAAUGUCACCUUGAAUUGCAUCCAUAUACUGAAAAUAAUUUUCUUGAAAGACAGUUCCUGUCCCUGCUUACCCUGCUCCUCGCAACAAAAACUUAAGAGUAAAAACCUUACUGCCACCUACCCCCAAAUUCUAAUGGUGACAUAAUAAUUAUUGGUCUUGAAAUACUGAUUUUUAAAAUUACUCUUUUAAGGAUUCAGGGGUUAAGAUUCCAGUUUUCUUGACAUCUUCUAAUUCAGAUUUCAAACAGAAAACAGUGAUUGCACCUCUGUCAUUAGUUGUUUUCAUUUAGGAGGUAGUGAACAAAACCCAACAAAAAGCGCCCUCAACAGCUCCCCUCUCUGAAUCCAGACCCCAUAGCUCUUUAUUUUCACUAGACAGCUCAAUAUAUAUUGGGUAUUCAUGUACAGCAGAUAUAGACCACAUUGUGGAAACACAACAGGUCCACUGAAACACAGAGAACUCCGAGGAAGAGCUCCAGUACAUCAACAUCUGCUCAACAUAUAUGUAAAACUGCUGGGAAAGAUGAAGAAACAAUUUAUAGCUCAGUGCCUUCAGUAGCUGGAAGGCAUACAACUAAUGGAUCUUUUCCCCAUUAGACCAAGCAGUCUCUGGAAGUUUUUCAGCCUUUGCGCUGCCACAGUGGUUGAUUGUUAGCAGAAGUGUCUGUACCAGUUUCUAGACGUGAAUGCCCGAGAAGCAGCAAAAACCUUUGCAAUGGAAAUUCCCCUUUGGAAUUUGCUUGGUUUAACCCAGGGUAUGGUUAGCUGAUCCUCACAGCACUGUGCAAGGCUCAUCCACUUUCCUAAGGGUUUGUGUUCAAUUAAAAGACUUAGCUUCCCCCCAACACUGGGUCUCCAAGAUGAUCUAAUUGAAAUAAUUCUUAGAUGAUUUUCCUCUCUUCAACAUUAGAAAGAAGCAUAAUACGUAUUUUUUUCUUUCUACUGAAGACUAGAUUCUUAAAGCAAAUGAAAACCUGGCUGUGCUUCUAGUGCUCUUUUUAUACAGUUAAACCACUGUUGCUGUCUUUGAAGUACUGUCCAGGAAGAAAUCUCUAGCACACUUUUUCAAAAAGAGAGACUGUCACUGGCAACUCCCUCUUCAGGAUCAGUUUUACAGCUUCUCUUACUUGCAGUCCAAGGAAAAGGUCAUGAAAAUGAGUGGGACUGAACACCAGUGCAAAACUGCAAGUCAUACAUUAAAGCUAGAUCUCAAAACUUCUAAAAAGGUAGAGACAGACGAACAAAGAAUUUCUGAUCAAGAGAACCACUAAUUUUACAUUGUCAAAAGUCUCAGAAAAUAUCACAAUCUUGUUAUCUGCCAUGGGAUGCCAUGUACAAAGACAUGGGAAUAAAACUUUUGUCUUAAUCCAAACGGACAUCACAAAGUAAGAAAAAACCUGGGAGAGACAAAGUGGUUCACAACAUAUCAUUUGCCUGUACAGCGAGGGACACACACCCGCCCUCCUAAUUGUCAAUCCAGUGUCCUAUAUUCUAGUGACACACUACCUCUCAUGAGCAGAAUAAUUAACCAGAAGAGAAGAGGAGGCACAUGAUCAGAUCCUACAGCUUUCUAUUAUUUAGGAUGAAUGGAAAUAAAGGGAAACACUUUCAAAA